CCAAAGCCUUCCUUCUGGGGUCUGACCGCUCCCACAGGCUAAUUGGUGACAUCAACCAAAGCCCUGAAAGUGAUUCUGGCAGAAAACGAACAUGUCUCUGCGAAGCAGGUGAAGAGCCCGAGACUUUGGAAUAGACACACUGGCAGCGACGGGGAUGAGACCUCACCAGGGAGGAGGUGCUAAGCCCAACUGCAGGAUGUCUCUGGGUGUCCUCCAGGCACCCCAGCUUUGAAGGCACCCCACCAACCCGGGAUCCACAAACGUUUCCGCCAGAUGUGCAGCCCUUGGAGCAAGUCGUGAAACAACUGCUUUGAAGAUGAAGAGCCCUCGGAGCACGCUAAGUAGCUGUAUUAUUGUCGUGCAGUGUGUGUCACCCUGCGGAGGAUUCAACUCCCAGCACUGUCACCGCUGGGGAAUUAGUGAAAGGCAAACUCAGCCGGAAAUGCCGAGUGCCAAAAAAGAGGAGCGAAUAAAAUGCUGGGGGUGGGAGGAAGGGGACGGUGGGUGCCUGAGCUUUGAAAUUCUGCCACUGAAAGUUCUCUCCCAUGGUUCCUUUUCCAACCCGCCCCGAGUGCAACAACUGGACCCGCCAUGUGACAGGCGCUGCAGACGGAUCGCGUUUCACACAUGCAGCUGUAAUAUCUGGCACACAGGUGUUUGGUUCUGUGUUUGCCAGCUGCUCUGCAGCGCCCUGCUACAAUGGAUAGGGGUCGGGGGGAGGGGAACCCUCACACUUGUUGCUGCCAAAAGGGAGGAGGGAGCUGGAGAUUCCUGCCCCCCGGCCAAGAGCUCAGCAUUUGACUCUGCUUGGGUCUCCCCCAGUGCCUGCUUUAGAGGGUCCUGGGGCCUCUUCUCAUGGGCUCACCCAGGACUCGGCUGUGGCUGGCUGGGAGGGCGAACAGGGCGUCUGGGAAACCUCCAAGCAAACUGGCCAGGGCCCCAGGAAGCCAGGUCCGGAGGCAGCGCACCCGGGGAUAGGAGGCCACUGGGCUGUUGAGUCAGCUUCCAACUUCACCUCUGAGCAAUUGUGAAACCUUGGCCAGGUUUCUUGCCCUGUCUGGUCUUAGUUUCCUAAUCUAUGAAAUGGAGUAUGUAACUCCUGAUCCACCAGCCCUCGUCUGUGAGGACUCCAUGAAGCACUCAGGGAAGCAGCGUUACUUUUGUUAUUCCCACCUGGGGAAGGUGGGACGGGGCAGAAACUCACCGGGCUCCUGGGCCAUAUCCCUGGACCCCUGUCAUUGAAGCCUGGCCCAGCUGUUCUGGGUCUGAGGCCCAGAUAUCACCAGUGUCCAGAUAUCACACAGAUCAUUGGUUUUCUGCUCUUUUUCCCUCCUCAGGGAGGAAGAGGCCUGGCCAUUCAGGACAGUGAAGUCACCGAAGAAAGGUGGCAGCAGGGGAGACUGGGGGUGGACUCUCCAGCCCGUGCCCGCUGGAAGCCCCUCUCCUUUCCCUUCUUAGCACCUGCCGGAUGGAGCGUCUAUGCAGCUAGGACUGUUAUAUGGAGGGUUUUCUCCCGCCGUGGACUCUCUGGAGGCUAUGGACUGUCUGCUUUGCCCAUCAUUCUGUCCCCAACACGUUGUCUGCAUGAAGUGAAGAUUUGAUAACUGCCUGCUAAGGGAGCGAAGGAGUGAGUGGGUGGAUGAGUGGGACGGUAUUCUCACUGCCACAGCUGCUCCCAGCCCUAUUUUAAGGACAGAGAAUAUGCAUAUUUAAAGGACAGAUGCGUGUCUAAUAAUCCCAGCAUGUUGGGAGGCUGAGGCAGGAGGAUUGUUUGAGGCCAGCAGUUUGAGAGCAGCCUGGGAAACAUAGUGAGACCUCCAUCUCUGCCGCAAACAAAGAAAAUUAGUCCAGCAUAGUGGAGUGCACCUGUAAUCUCAGCUCGUGGGGAGGCUGGGGCAGAAGGAUGACUUGAGCCCAGGAGUUCAAAGCUGUUGUGAGCUGUUAUCAUGGCACUGCACUCCAGCCUGGGCAACAGAGCAAGACCUCAUCUCUUAAAAGAAAAAAGAUGGAUGCAUGAUCACACAUGACACGUCCAGCUCCACGUCACAUGUCACUCCCCAGCCUCAGACCUAUCCUUUGCAUCCUCUCUCCACCCUUCUUCUGACCCCUUGUCCUGCUUGGCUCCCUGCUAAUGUGCCCAUGCCUCGCCUUCUCUUCCUACCUCCCCCUCCUGCCCCAUCCCCCUGUUCCUUGUCUCUCCUGAGUCUGGGAGUUGGAACUACCCAGGUCACAGCAAGGCUUGUAGGAAGAAGAGUACCAUGGGGAUCCCAGAGGGCUAAGGCCCAGCCAAGCUCUGUGCUUUGGACAUGGAGACUAGCGGUUGUCUUUCUGGGUUUGCAAACUUUGUGAAAUGAGCAUCGUCUGCUCUGUAUCCUUCUUGUGCAUAUUUUAAAAGACUCCACCCAGCCUCAUCUCUUUCAAGGAGUUUGUUCCCCACUAACUGGGCUGGACAGGUGAGAAUGCUCUUGCUACAAUCUUCCCCAGUUCUAGGCCUGGCUCAUGCGUGACCUAUAUAUGCUAAGCUAGAUGUCCUGUACUUGC
rnacentral:lncRNA from 1 species